AGAGCCAGUUCUCUUCAGGAGCAUGCCAGGCUGAAGCUUUGUCCUAUGGAGAAGCAGAAAAGGUCAGAGGGGGAGAAAGAAAGAGCCCCUCCCCAUCGAGGAGCCAGCCAGGGAGGGAGACAAAAGGAGGCUCCAUGGAGAUGCAAUGUGAUCAGCUGGCCUUCUGCUCUGAUCACCAUGACUUCCCUGCCUGAAACCAUGUCUUCCCCUCCAUGAUGGAAGUUACAAGAUGAAAUAAAUCCCUCCUUCCCUAAAAUGGGUAUUUUUGUCUCAUCAACGAGAAAGUUAACUUAUGUAAAGCUGGCUCUAGGGAAGUCAUUAGGAUGUGAUGAGGUUGUUAGGGUAAGGUGCUGGUAAUGAUGUUAGUGGCUUUUGUAGAAAAGGAGGAGGAGGGGGGAGGAGGAGGAAGAGGAGGAGGAGGAGGAUCCAUGCUGUCUUACCACCUUGCCCCCUGGCCAUGCUAUGUUUCAGAUGAGACUUCAUCAGAUGCCAGGCAGAGCUGGCACCGUGCUUGAGCUUUCAGUCUCCAGAAAAAUAGCAAAAGAAAUUUCUAUUUUGUUCUCUUUUCCAGAAAAACAAGCAACAACAAUAAAACCCAACAUUUGUUCUAAAGCAAUGACAGAUAAAGAGAAACCUCUUCUUUUCAUAAUGACAACAAAUAAACACAGAAAGAAUAUGGAGUUCUUUAAAAAAAUAAAAUCACAAAUUUGCCAACAUUCUAAUAAAAGUUAAUAAGAUACAGGAUAAUCAAAAGAUACUAAAUCUAGGAAGGGCAGGUGUGAGGAGCCACAGAAUUGUCAACACAAUAUCAACGUUUCUUAUAAAACAGUAACUGCAAAGGGAGAAAUAGUAACUAGACAAUGGAGAAAGUAGACAGCCUCUUUUCUGUGUGAUGGAAAUUAACACCAAUAACAGGGACUAUUCUGUUCAUCUGGGCUUGGUACCCAGGGUUGCAUCACUUAAUAGGAUUCUCACCCACACCACACAAUCCAAAUCUACCCACAAGGAAACAUCAGGAAACUCCAGGGAAGCUGAUCUAGUCUUCAAACACAUCAAUACUACAAAAGACUGGAAAGGGCAGAGGAAUCGCUCCAAAUCAGCGUCAUGACAGCACAAUCUACAAUCCCAGACUGGAUCCCGUCUCUGAGAAAUUACCAACAGAGCAAAUGAAAUCAGAAUAGAGACUGCAGAUCAGAUGAAAGUCCCAUCUGAAUGGGAGACUGCAGGAUUUAUAUGCUUGCGUGAGACUGUGUGCUUGCUCUUGUGAAUGUGGCAUCAAUGACAACCUGAACAGGAGGUCCUGAGUCUGCUCACUGGACCAACUUGUGAGAGGAAAGUACUCAGGGGCACCUCUGAAGAUGGCUGUAUGAAGAUGAGGAAACCCCAUAGAUUUCAUAAGCAUCUCUACACGACUUCCUGUUUUCCACUUCUCCAUUUGUCAGACUCAGCCCAUUAACUGUGGUUCAGUUUUUGUCCAGAGCUUUCUAGUGGACUUCUUUGCUAGCCAGUGGGUACAGCCGUAUCUGAAUCCCAGAGGCACAUGCCCUGAGCAUCCUACCACUUGAAGAUUGCUGGUGAGAUCAGAGGUGAUAUUAGCAAAUGUGAUUUUCCAAUACUGAACCAUGAAAUAUGUCACCGUUUGCAAAAUAAGUGCAGCACAGGUAACCGAUAUUUCCAGGUGAUCAAUUCAUGAUGUAAAAUUCCAUCAAAGAAUAAGACGGAUCAAUGGAUUUUAAUGUAACAGCAUAUUAAAAGGUUUCCAAGCUGUAACUCAAUUUAAGAAACUGCCAUUUGUUGAGUGUUGCUAUAAUUUCCAUGAAAGCCCACACUUAACAGAAUGCAAUCAAAGCAAAUACCCCUCACUUUUCUAACUCCUUGUCUGCGUGAGGCCAUGUUGGAUUCGUAUAUUCAUAUAAGGCAAUAUCACAACAGACUAUCUAAAUACCUCUAUAGCCACUGAGCUAAUUUCUAUUAAGACAGACACUAAAGAGAUUUUUGAAAUUGGAAAACUUAGCAUCCUGGUGUUGUGGUGUGCACACCUACUUGGCGACAGUCAGCACUUGGGGAAUGGUGGCAAAAGGACCAAGGCCAGCCUUGGGCUAAUAAGGAGGGUUCAAGACUAGCCUAGGCCAUAUAAUACCUUGUCUCAAAACAAACAAAUGAACGGAAAAAAAAGUAAAGUCAGGCCGCUGUUCUUGCUAAUUUGUUUUGGAAAAAAAUCUUGUAUUCACAAGUAAUUUGUUAUUAUAUUUGAAUAAAGUAAUACAUACUAAAGU
ensembl:lincRNA 2900052N01Rik RIKEN cDNA 2900052N01 gene